UACGUAGGGGGCGAGCGUUGUCCGGAAUUAUUGGGCGUAAAGAGCGUGUAGGCGGUUCGGUAAGUCUGCCGUGAAAACCUGGGGCUCAACCCCGGGCGUGCGGUGGAUACUGCCGGGCUAGAGGGUGGUAGAGGCGAGUGGAAUUCCCGGUGUAGCGGUGAAAUGCGCAGAUAUCGGGAGGAACACCAAUGGCGAAGGCAGCUCGCUGGGACGUGACUGACGCUGAGACGCGAAAAGCGUGGGGAGCAAACAGG
rnacentral:rRNA from 1 species